GUCGUCGCGAGGCGGGGUCUGAAGGAAGCCCAAUCCGAAACUGCGGGACGAUGAACAAAAACCGGAUAGGAGGGUCGGUUGUUGCCUUCACCUUACGUGGCACGAGAACGGACUGUGACAUGAACCACAAGCGCAAACGGCCCAAGCAACGACGGGCCGGAUG
rfam:Betaproteobacteria bacterium RIFCSPLOWO2_12_61_14 rifcsplowo2_12_sub10_scaffold_6274, whole genome shotgun sequence.